GUAUUUAUAUGUUAUAUAUAAUAUGUAAUCUGUUAAUAUAUGAACCAAACCCAUUAUCAUCAUGAAGCCCAAAUUGCAGCCCAUGGCCCAAGUAUAAAUAACAAAACGCCCUUCCAGAAUCAUUUUCCUCUUACCCUUCCUUCUCGCCUCUGUCCAAAUUCUCUCCACUCUCUCCGUCGACAGUCCAGAACCUUCAAUUGCUCUUGCCAAAAUUAAACCCCAAAUUUUCCAUAUAGUCCAUGCUUCCAAACAAUUUAGCUGACUGUUAAAUAUUCUUGUUCAUGAAUAAGCUCCUGGUGACCGAUUUUGAAAAAGAAACCCUAAUUUCUUAAUGUUGAAAUUAGCAAUUAUUCACGACAUUAAAGGUCUGAUCUAACUACAUCUACAAAGAGUAGACAAUGUAAGGCUAGAAAGCUACAAAUCAGGCAACCAAGCCCUGCAUGCAAUUGUGGGAGAAGACCUAGAUAGCUACGGGAAAUUUUUACCAAGAAGUAAACUUAAUAUAGGCUACAGAAUCCAGUAAGUUGAUUCUAUACCUUGAAUGUCUAUACUUCCUCUUGCAACAAAUGAUAGUGGACUUUUAUUUUUUAUUUUUUAUUUUUUUUAAAAAAUUUCUCAUCCUUCUUUAAGUUGCUGCUUGGCACCCAAAAAUUGAUAUGAAGUGUAAGUAUACUUGAAGGAGUAGGUGUAUAAACAAACUACUAAAUAUUUAAGUUAAUUUUCUCCAAACCAAUAUUCUCUAGUUUUACUUAUAAAUAAAUGAGCAAUAAAGUGUUUUUCACAAUUAAGUAAGUGUUUUAUUGAAUUAUUGUUUUAGAUAUAUGUCAUUACAUUUGAAUUCUCAAAUGGGAUAUUUGAAUAGUACGUGAAUUAUUAACUCUUUAUUUAUUUUUGUAUAAAGGAAUAUAUGGGCAGUGGAAAUAAAGCAUUAAAUGUUCAAUUUAUGGAUGAAAUGUAUAUCUUACUGCUUAUACUUAAUACUUGAAUCCAUAAUGUGUUGCAUACUUACAUUAUGAUGCUAUUUUUUUUAGUAAUAAAUUUUCAAAAUCAAAUAAUAUAGGUAAAAAAUACACUUACAUAAUUUAUAAUAUUUAAAUAAGCAUCCAGAAAUACAAUAAUUAGAUGAACAGACUUUAAGGAAAACAAAAUAUAUUACAAAUUUCUGCAGAAAAUAUUCAGAAGCAGAAAUGCAGAACAUACCCCUAACAACUUAAAAACAUAGGAAAUAAUAGAUUAACAGUCCAAAAACAACAACAGAAGAACAGAUUCAACUUUAAAAUUCCAUUAAAAUUUCUUCUUCUUCUUUAUCAGCUCAAUCCUUAUCUUUUUAGGAACUUCAACCUUUGUGAAUUGCUCCAUAAGACACCUCUUCACGAUGAGGCCAUUGCUUUAGAGUUUUUUCAGAAUCUUUCUCAUCAACCUCCUCUUUGCCUAGCUAGCAAUGUUUUGAAAGAAAAUAUAAAUAUAUAUUGUUGAAAGAGAAUUACAAAAUUUAUCUACUUACCUCUGCAUCAUGAUAUAAGUAUCUCCCAUGCUUUUGCUUGUUUUUUGUUCUUGUUUCAGACAGCUCAUAUGUGUGCAUUGAAAGUACCCUCAUGGCUUUUUGGGUGUGAUAAAGAUGGAUUUGAAACCCAAGAACAAAGUGGCUAGACAUGAAGAAGCUUCAAUUGUUGUGCUUUACAGUUGAACACCUAAAGCAGUACAAAAAGUUAAAAAAAAAAAAAAAAUAGGAGUAGGAAUUGUUAUUUACUAACCUCUUGAUCAUGGAAUAAGCAUUUUAUACUCUUGACUCCUUCA